rnacentral:tRNA from 1 species
GGCUUCAUAGUUCAGUUGGUAGAGCAUCGCACCGGUAUCGCGGAGGCCAUGGGUUCAAAUCUCGUUGAAGCCG